UACGUAUGUGGCAAGCGUUGUCCGGAUUUAUUGGGCGUAAAGCGAGCGCAGGCGGUUUCUUAAGUCUGAUGUGAAAGCCCACGGCUUAACCGUGGAGGGUCAUUGGAAACUGGAAAACUUGAGUGCAGAAGAGGAAAGUGGAAUUCCAUGUGUAGCGGUGAAAUGCGUAGAUAUUGAGAAGAACACCAUUAGCGAAGGCGGCUUUCUGGACUGUAACUGACACUGAGGCACGAAAGCGUGGGUAGCAAACAGG
rnacentral:rRNA from 1 species